rnacentral:rRNA from 1 species
GACGAACGCUGGCGGCGUGCUUAACACAUGCAAGUCGAACGGAAAGGCCCUUCGGGGUACUCGAGUGGCGAACGGGUGAGUAACACGUGGGUGAUCUGCCCUGCACUUUGGGAUAAGCCUGGGAAACUGGGGCUAAUACCGAAUAUGAUCAUCGGCUUCAUGGUCGGUGGUGGAAAGCUUUUGCGGUGUGGGAUGGGCCCGCGGCCUAUCAGCUUGUUGGUGGGGUAAUGGCCUACCAAGGCGACGACGGGUAGCCGGCCUGAGAGGGUGACCGGCCACACUGGGACUGAGAUACGGCCCAGACUCCUACGGGAGGCAGCAGUGGGGAAUAUUGCACAAUGGGCGCAAGCCUGAUGCAGCGACGCCGCGUGAGGGAUGACGGCCUUCGGGUUGUAAACCUCUUUCAGCACAGACGAAGCGCAAGUGACGGUAUGUGCAGAAGAAGGACCGGCCAACUACGUG